rnacentral:tRNA from 1 species
GCCCCCGUGGCGGAAUUGGUAGACGCGCUCGACUCAAAAUCGAGUUCCUACGGGAUUGCCGGUUCGAUUCCGGCCGGGGGUA